AUUGAACGCUGGCGGCAUGCUUUACACAUGCAAGUCGAACGGUAACAGGCCGCAAGGUGCUGACGAGUGGCGAACGGGUGAGUAAUGCAUCGGAACGUGCCCAGUCGUGGGGGAUAACGCAGCGAAAGCUGUGCUAAUACCGCAUACGAUCUAUGGAUGAAAGCGGGGGACCGUAAGGCCUCGCGCGAUUGGAGCGGCCGAUGUCAGAUUAGGUAGUUGGUGGGGUAAAGGCCUACCCAGCCGACGAUCUGUAGCUGGUCUGAGAGGACGACCAGCCACACUGGGACUGAGAAACGGCCCAGACUCCUACGGGAGGCAGCAGUGGGGAAUUUUGGACAAUGGGCGCAAGCCUGAUCCAGCAAUGCCGCGUGCAGGAAGAAGGCCUUCGGGUUGUAAACUGCUUUUGUACGGAACGAAACGGCCUGGGUUAAUACCCUGGGCUAAUGACGGUACCGUAAGAAUAAGCACCGGCUAACUACGCGCCAGCAGCCGCCGUAAGAC
rnacentral:rRNA from 1 species